GUACAAGGUUCCCUAGUGCUGUACCAGGUUGGUAACUACAGCCAGGACCAUUCAGCCUUGAACUGUCUGAGCCCUGCCUCUAACAGCCUUGGUAGAGAAGAUGCUCACAGCCAAGAAUCCCCUCUGAGGGGUUGACAGCGACGGUCCCUCUUCCCCAAGUUACAUCCUGGUCCGGCUUCCCUUGUGGCACGCUGGUGACGACUGACCUCCCUAUAACCCUGAGCUGGCUGCAAAUCCUGCCCUGAAGGUGGUGGCCCUUGAGGAUCCUCUCCAAACUUCUCUUCAAAGCC